rnacentral:rRNA from 1 species
UACAGAGGGUGCAAGCGUUAAUCGGAACUACUGGGCGUAAAGCGCACGCAGGCGGUUGGUUAAGCCAGAUGUGAAAGCCCCGGGCUCAACCUGGGAAUUGCAUUUGAAACUGGCCAACUAGAGUACGUGAGAGGGGGGUAGAAUUCCAAGUGUAGCGGUGAAAUGCGUAGAGAUUUGGAGGAAUACCAGUGGCGAAGGCGGCCCCCUGGCACGAUACUGACGCUCAGGUGCGAAAGCGUGGGAGCAAACAGG